GCAUGAGUGGCGGAAUCGGAAUACGCGCCGGGCUAAGGAUCUGGUGCCUGUCACAGGGCGUGUGGGUUCAAGUCCCACCUCAUGCACCA
rnacentral:tRNA from 1 species